rnacentral:rRNA from 1 species
AUAGCCCGAGGAAACUCGGAUUAAUACCGGAUAUUCUUAUUUUUUCACAUGAAGUUUUAAGGAAAGGUCAGCCGAACUAAGAUGAGCUCGCGUUCUAUCAGCUAGUUGGUGGGGUAAAAGCCUACCAAGGCUACGACGGAUAGCUGGUCUGAGAGGACGAUCAGCCACACUGGGACUGAGACACGGCCCAGACUCCUACGGGAGGCUGCAGCAGGGAAUAUUGUGCAAUGAGCGAAAGCUUGACACAGCGACACCGCGUGUGGGAUGACGGUUCUAGGAUUGUAAACCACUUUCAGGAGGGAAGAAAAUGACGGUACCUCCACAAGAAGACCCGGCCAACUAUGUGCCAGCAGCCGCGGUAAUACAUAGGGGUCAAGCGUUGCCCGGAUUUAUUGGGCGUAAAGAGCUCGUAGGCGGUUCAACAAGUCGGUCGUAAAAGUUUAGGGCUCAACCCUAAAAUGUCGAUCGAUACUGUUGUGACUAGGAUACGGUAGAGGUGAAUGGAAUUCCGAGUGUAGCGGUGAAAUGCGUAGAUAUUCGGAGGAACACCAAUUGCGAAGGCAGUUCACUGGACCGUGAUCGACGCUGAGGAGCGAAAGCUAGGGGAGCAAACAGGAUUAGAUACCCUGGUAGUCCUAGCUGUAAACGAUGGAUACUAGAUGUAGGAACUGGAUUGACGGUUUCUGUAUCGUAGCUAACGCGUUAAGUAUCCCGCCUGGGGAGUACGGUCGCAAGACUAAAACUCAAAGGAAUUGAC